rnacentral:rRNA from 1 species
GGUUAAGCGACUAAGCGUACACGGUGGAUGCCCUGGCAGUCAGAGGCGAUGAAGGACGUGCUAAUCUGCGAAAAGCGUCGGUAAGGUGAUAUGAACCGUUAUAACCGGCGAUGUCCGAAUGGGGAAACCCAGUGCAAUUCGUUGCACUAUCGUUAACUGAAUACAUAGGUUAACGAGGCGAACCGGGGGAACUGAAACAUCUAAGUACCCCGAGGAAAAGAAAUCAACCGAGAUUCCCCCAGUAGCGGCGAGCGAACGGGGAGCAGCCCAGAGUCUGAAUCAGCUUGUGUGUUAGUGGAACGGUCUGGAAAGUCCGACGGUACAGGGUGAUAGUCCCGUACACCAAAAUGCACAGGCUGUGAACUCGAAGAGUAGGGCGGGACACGUGGUAUCCUGUCUGAAUAUGGGGGGACCAUCCUCCAAGGCUAAAUACUCCUGACUGACCGAUAGUGAACCAGUACCGUGAGGGAAAGGCGAAAAGAACCCCGGCGAGGGGAGUGAAAAAGAACCUGAAACCGUGUACGUACAAGCAGUGGGAGCACCUUCGGGUGUGACUGCGUACCUUUUGUAUAAUGGGUCAGCGACUUAUAUUCUGUAGCAAGGUUAACCGUAUAGGGGAGCCGCAGGGAAACCGAGUCUUAACUGGGCGUUAAGUUGCAGGGUAUAGACCCGAAACCCGGUGAUCUAGCCAUGGGCAGGUUGAAGGUUGGGUAACACUAACUGGAGGACCGAACCGACUAAUGUUGAAAAAUUAGCGGAUGACUUGUGGCUGGGGGUGAAAGACCAAUCAAACCGGGAGAUAGCUGGUUCUCCCCGAAAGCUAUUUAGGUAGCGCCUCGUGAACUCAUCUUCGGGGGUAGAGCACUGUUUCGGCUAGGGGGUCAUCCCGACUUACCAACCCGAUGCAAACUACGAAUACCGAAGAAUGUUAUCACGGGAGACACACGGCGGGUGCUAACGUCCGUCGUGAAGAGGGAAACAACCCAGACCGCCAGCUAAGGUCCCAAAGUCAUGGUUAAGUGGGAAACGAUGUGGGAAGGCACAGACAGCCAGGAUGUUGGCUUAGAAGCAGCCAUCAUUUAAAGAAAGCGUAAUAGCUCACUGGUCGAGUCGGCCUGCGCGGAAGAUGUAACGGGGCUAAACCAUGCACCGAAGCUGCGGCAGCGACACUAUGUGUUGUUGGGUAGGGGAGCGUUCUGUAAGCCUGCGAAGGUGUGCUGUGAGGCAUGCUGGAGGUAUCAGAAGUGCGAAUGCUGACAUAAGUAACGAUAAAGCGGGUGAAAAGCCCGCUCGCCGGAAGACCAAGGGUUCCUGUCCAACGUUAAUCGGGGCAGGGUGAGUCGACCCCUAAGGCGAGGCCGAAAGGCGUAGUCGAUGGGAAACAGGUUAAUAUUCCUGUACUUGGUGUUACUGCGAAGGGGGGACGGAGAAGGCUAUGUUAGCCGGGCGACGGUUGUCCCGGUUUAAGCAUGUAGGCUGGUUGUCCAGGCAAAUCCGGAUAAUCAAGGCUGAGGUGUGAUGACGAGGCACUACGGUGCUGAAGUAACAAAUGCCCUGCUUCCAGGAAAAGCCUCUAAGCAUCAGGUAACAUCAAAUCGUACCCCAAACCGACACAGGUGGUCAGGUAGAGAAUACCAAGGCGCUUGAGAGAACUCGGGUGAAGGAACUAGGCAAAAUGGUGCCGUAACUUCGGGAGAAGGCACGCUGGUGUGUAGGUGAAGCCCCUGCGGGUGGAGCUGAGACCAGUCGAAGAUACCAGCUGGCUGCAACUGUUUAUUAAAAACACAGCACUGUGCAAACACGAAAGUGGACGUAUACGGUGUGACGCCUGCCCGGUGCCGGAAGGUUAAUUGAUGGGGUUAUCCGUAAGGAGAAGCUCUUGAUCGAAGCCCCGGUAAACGGCGGCCGUAACUAUAACGGUCCUAAGGUAGCGAAAUUCCUUGUCGGGUAAGUUCCGACCUGCACGAAUGGCGUAAUGAUGGCCAGGCUGUCUCCACCCGAGACUCAGUGAAAUUGAACUCGCUGUGAAGAUGCAGUGUACCCGCGGCAAGACGGAAAGACCCCGUGAACCUUUACUAUAGCUUGACACUGAACAUUGAGCCUUGAUGUGUAGGAUAGGUGGGAGGCUUUGAAGCGUGGACGCCAGUCUGCGUGGAGCCAACCUUGAAAUACCACCCUUUAAUGUUUGAUGUUCUAACGUUGGCCCCUUACCGGGGUUGCGGACAGUGUCUGGUGGGUAGUUUGACUGGGGCGGUCUCCUCCCAAAGCGUAACGGAGGAGCACGAAGGUUAGCUAAUCCUGGUCGGACAUCAGGAGGUUAGUGCAAUGGCAUAAGCUAGCUUGACUGCGAGCGUGACGGCGCGAGCAGGUGCGAAAGCAGGUCAUAGUGAUCCGGUGGUUCUGAAUGGAAGGGCCAUCGCUCAACGGAUAAAAGGUACUCCGGGGAUAACAGGCUGAUACCGCCCAAGAGUUCAUAUCGACGGCGGUGUUUGGCACCUCGAUGUCGGCUCAUCACAUCCUGGGGCUGAAGUAGGUCCCAAGGGUAUGGCUGUUCGCCAUUUAAAGUGGUACGCGAGCUGGGUUUAGAACGUCGUGAGACAGUUCGGUCCCUAUCUGCCGUGGGCGCUGGAGAAUUGAGGGGGGCUGCUCCUAGUACGAGAGGACCGGAGUGGACGCAUCACUGGUGUUCGGGUUGUCAUGCCAAUGGCACUGCCCGGUAGCUAAAUGCGGAAGAGAUAAGUGCUGAAAGCAUCUAAGCACGAAACUUGCCCCGAGAUGAGUUCUCCCUGAGACUUUAAGUCUCCUGAAGGAACGUUGAAGACGACGACGUUGAUAGGCCGGGUGUGUAAGCGCAGCGAUGCGUUGAGCUAACCGGUACUAAUGAACCGUGAGGCUUAACCUU